AGGACGAACGCUGGCGGCGUGCUUAACACAUGCAAGUCGAGCGGAAAGGCCCUUCGGGGUACUCGAGCGGCGAACGGGUGAGUAACACGUGAGCAAUCUGCCCUUAGCUUCGGGAUAGCCCCGGGAAACCGGGAUUAAUACCGAAUACGACCUCAGCCGACAUCGGCUCUGGUGGAAAGUUUUUCGGCUAGGGAUGAACUCGCGGCCUAUCAGCUUGGUUGGUGGGGUAAUGGCCUACCAAGGCGACGACGGGUA
rnacentral:rRNA from 1 species